ensembl:lncRNA
AUGCUUUGGCGAUGCAGGAAGGUGUUUGCCAGAAGUUUCUCCAGCCACCUGUAUAGCGGUGAGCUGAAAUCUCCAGGAACGAGUGAUGGAUCGCAGGUGCACCGAAGGAGCUUUGUUCUCCUCGUCAUCAUCAGCUUUCACUUAAAGCUGGGUUCAAUGAAAAUAGAAGGUGUCAUCAUUUAUUCGCCCUUAUUUCUGUUCCAGUCCUGGAUGAUCGUUUUUGUAGAACAAUUUGAAAAACGUUCAAGCUGAAGUAAACAAGUAAUUAAAAAAAAAUAUUAUAUUAUAUUAUAUUAUAUUAUAUUAUAUUAUAUUAUAUAUAAAAUUUAGUGCUGGGCAAUGAUAAAUGUAUUUUUAAUCGUGAUUAAUCGCACGAUUGUCUGUGAUUAAUCGCGAUUAAUCGCAUUAUUCACAGCAUUCAUUAAUGCAUUCAGAAGUAGUGUAUUUUGCACUUUUUUCAUUUAAAAGUACUGCUAUAUAAACAAAAGUGCUAUAACAUUUGGUUUGCAAACACUUUAAACAAAUAAGGUGCUUUUUUUUACAGCAGUAUUCCAUUUUCAUAGUAGCAGUUAAAAUGUUUCUUGUAAAUCUCAACUUGUAACAUUAAUGGAAUCAAAUUAAUGCAAGAUAAAAUAAUUCUCAGCAU